rnacentral:rRNA from 1 species
UACGUAGGGUGCAAGCGUUGUCCGGAAUUAUUGGGCGUAAAGAGCUCGUAGGCGGUUUGUCGCGUCGGCUGUGAAAGCCCGGAGCUCAACUCCGGGUCUGCAGUCGAUACGGGCAGACUUGAGUGUUGCAGGGGAGACUGGAAUUCCUGGUGUAGCGGUGAAAUGCGCAGAUAUCAGGAGGAACACCGAUGGCGAAGGCAGGUCUCUGGGCCGUAACUGACGCUGAGGAGCGAAAGCAUGGGGAGCGAACAGG